UUUUCCCUGCUUCUAUGGUUGUCUAUCGCUUUUGCCAAGGCAUCUCUCCAUUUCCCCAACUCUUUAUUGAGAAUUUUUCACCUACUGAACAAUGCCAUUUUCGUAUGGGUUGAACCCGAUCUUUCACAAAAUUCGGUAUGAAUUUUUAUCCACAUAUGACAUAAUUUCAUCUUAUUGCCUGAGACGGGACAAUGACUAAUUUGGACCCAAC
rnacentral:lncRNA from 1 species